rnacentral:rRNA from 1 species
GACGAACGCUGGCGGCGUGCCUAAUACAUGCAAGUUGAGCGAUGAAGAUUGGUGCUUGCACCAAUUUGAAGAGCAGCGAACGGGUGAGUAACGCGUGGGGAAUCUGCCUUUGAGCGGGGGACAACAUUUGGAAACGAAUGCUAAUACCGCAUAACAACUUUAAACAUAAGUUUUAAGUUUGAAAGAUGCAAUUGCAUCACUCAAAGAUGAUCCCGCGUUGUAUUAGCUAGUUGGUGAGGUAAAGGCUCACCAAGGCGAUGAUACAUAGCCGACCUGAGAGGGUGAUCGGCCACAUUGGGACUGAGACACGGCCCAAACUCCUACGGGAGGCAGCAGUAGGGAAUCUUCGGCAAUGGACGAAAGUCUGACCGAGCAACGCCGCGUGAGUGAAGAAGGUUUUCGGAUCGUAAAACUCGGUUGGUAGAGAAGAACGUUGGUGAGAGUGGAAAGCUCAUCAAGUGACGGUAACUACACAGAAAGGGACGGCUAACUACGUG